CCUACGGGAGGCAGCAGUGGGGAAUUUUGCGCAAUGGGGGCAACCCUGACGCAGCAACGCCGCGUGAGUGAUGAAGGCCUUCGGGUCGUAAAGCUCUGUCAGAGGGGAAGAAAUGCAGGUGGUGAACAACCAUUCUGUUUGACGGUACCCUCAAAGGAAGCACCGGCUAACUCUGUGCCAGCAGCCGCGGUAAUACGGAGGGUGCGAGCGUUGUUCGGAAUUAUUGGGCGUAAAGCGCGUGUAGGCGGUUUUUUAAGUCUGAUGUAAAAGCCCCGGGCUCAACCGGGGAAGUGCAUUGGAUACUGGCAGACUUGAGUACGGGAGAGGAGAGUGGAAUCCCCAGUGUAGGAGUGAAAUCCGUAGAUAUUGGGAGGAACACCGGUGGCGAGGGCGGCUCCCUGGACCGAUACUGACGCUGAGACGCGAAAGCGUGGGAAGCAACCAGGAUUAGAUCCCCUAGUAGU
rnacentral:rRNA from 1 species